UUGAGGGUGAGUCUAAAACUGUCCGUUAAGUCUCAGCAGGUUUCUGCCCUUCCGCCGUCGUCCCCAUGAUUCCUCCUCCUUCUCUCCACGUUCACAGUCGGUCGGUUGUCUCCUUCCCCAACCAUUCAAUUGGUUUCCUUCAAGAACUGAAAAUCGGUUUUAUUGAAGAACUGCAACACACUAUUGCUAGAAAUCAACCAGUUUCCGUAUACUGUACUGGAUUCCUAGCUCCACAGAAAACACCUUUCUUCUCCACGUUCGCACUUCUUCGUUCUUCUAAACUGUCUAAGCGGUUACCAUAGGCGACUAUAUAAUCUCAGGCAGACAACCGACCUUGCUUACUGAAAAUUGAAGAUUGAAGAUAAGGGCUUGAACCCUAAUUUCACUUCUUCAUAUUACGAGCUCUAUCUCCUGUUGCGCCUCCUAUAUCUCCAUGGUCGUCAUCAAUGGCUGACUUCUCUUCAGGUAUUCCCUAAUUCUACCUACUAAUGCUUCUUUUUGGUCUGAAAUUUCCUCUAUAAUUCAUAUACAUCCCAUCGAUUUCUCUCUUCACACCAUUCGAAUAUCAACAUUUUCCCUGUCUUGAUUUAAGUUCCAAUUUUAGCUUCUGGCUUGGAUAGAAAUUCUUAAAGGUUAAUAGGUUUUGUUUUGAGAUUGUUAUGAUUUUCUACUUUAAUAACUAAUACCAAAGUGAUAAUUUUGAUUUUUAACUUCUUAUUACUUGAUAAAAAUUGAAAUGGUAAUUUCAUUUUAAGACAACAACGUUCAGGUGUUCGAUAUUUUUUCACUUCUAUUUAUGAAGAUUUAAUUUCGUGUUUAUCUGGUGUAGCAAUUGCAACAAUCAAUUUCUCAAAGAAAAAUGCUAAGAUUUAGAUCUAUAAGGUCGUCCCUAAUGGUAAUUUGGUCUCAGUUAUUGAACAUAACAUACAAAUUUACAUUUCCUUUUUUCACACAAAACCACAUUAUAGUUCAUUUUUCCUUCAAAGAAUCAGAAAAAACCAUCUGUCUUUCUGCAAAAUCUCUAUGUCCAGGACAAUAUUUGCAAGGGUCGUUUUUCGAAGAUUUUGGCAAGAUGUUUCAAGGUUUUUGGGGAAAGGAAAUGUGUGUGUUUUUUUUUUUUUUUUUUUUUUUUUUUUUUUUUUUUUUAAGUUGGAUAAAGUUAAAGGACCAUUAUCUGCUUAUCUAUAAAUGGUAUAAAUGUAAGUGUUCAUAAUUUCAAUGUAUCACAAUUAACAGUCUUCAUCUUGACAAAAUACCUACUUUUCAUUAUAACUAUUAAAAGUGCUUUGGAGAUUCUAAUGAAUUUAAUUUUAAGUUUGACAACAAGUUGUUGGUAUUAAAGGUAACUAAAUUACAACUAUUUCUAUUUUUAACUUUAUGAUAUGCAUUGCUUUCACAUAUUUUUCUCACAAUGGAGGAUAUCUCAAACUAAAAUCGGAUAAUUUCUCAAAACUAAAAUAAACAGUCCCCUCACUCGCACUUGCAUGGAAAAAGUUUAAUUUUUUUAAAAUUAUUACUAAAUUACUUUUAUACGGUACAGAUUGGUAUUCAAAUGAUUUGUUUUUAUAUUGUUCAACAUGUCCACCGGACGGGUAUAACACUAGUUUAUAAUUAUUCUAAACGGUUAAAAUGCAAUAAAUGGCAAAUGACUUGAUAUUUUUUAAAAUUUUGGCAUAGUGUUAAGAAAUCUCCUGAAGUGUUAAUAUCAUAAUUUUUUAUAUCAAAACUAUUAUAUACUGCUUUUGAUGUCAUGUGCGAGUGAUGAAAAGUGGAGGAAUGUGAAUGACAAAUCUCGGAAAUCAAAACUCAAAAUUAAUCCAAAAGAGGGGAAAUGAAAUCGAACCAAAAUAGUUGAAUUACUUCCAAAAGUAAUUCUUAUUACCGUUCAUGCUUUUGCAGUUUACAAUGUGCAACAACUCAAGCUUGUCACAGAACACUGGUGAUACUUGUUUUUAUCUUAUUUAUGAUUCUUACAUUGGUUAUGAUUCUUAUUCCUAUCUAUUGUUUAGGUUUGACAACAAUGGUGGCAAUAAAGGUUGCAGUGGCAGUGGUGGUGGCCAUCGCCCUAGGAAGUGGCAGUGGUGGUGACCACCGUGGUAGUAGUGGUGGUCACCGCGGUGGAAGUGGCAGUGGCGACAGCGGUGGUGACCAUCGUGGUGUCAGUGGUAGUGGCGGCAACGGUGGUGGUGGCAAAGGCUCUGGCCGUGGUGGUGACUGCUGCGGUGGCUUUUAUGGUGGUGGCGGACGCCGUAGUAGCGGUAAGAGAUUGUUUUUUUCCUUAAAUGUUUGAUCUUUGCUUCAUAUCAACUAACAUUGCUUUAACCGCUAAAGUCACUGAGAAAUUAUUUGCUGAUUAUGCUCUACCGCUUGGGAGAGCUGAGGUGGGAGACAUUGUUGCACCACGAGUGGGGUUGCACAAAGGCAAAUAUCGGAGGGUUAUCAAUAUCGAAGGGGGGUAAAAUGCAUGUCGAACUACAGAGUGGGAGGAAGCCAAUAUUGAGUUGCAAGCGUUUAAAUUUUUUUUUUGUUUAUUAUAGAACUAUGCAUUCUUAUUACAUAGUUAAAAGAAUAUUGGCUCACAAUUUUUAUAGAUAGCAAGUCCACUGCUUUGGAGAUCAUUAAGAAAAAGCCGAAGGGCAGGUACUUGUUUUUGUUUAAUUUUUAUGUUAAGGUUUUUAUCUUACUUAUGAUUUGUUCUUUUGUUUAGUGUUGGCAGCACUUAUGGUACCAAGGUUAAAUGCCACCGUGGUGGUCCUGGUGAUCGAGGUGGAGGCCAUGAUGAUCAUGGUGGUUUCAGUGGAGGAAAUGCCAAACGUCGCAAGCUUCACUAAUAAUGUAGAAUUUGGAGAAAAGAAUUAGUUUUGAUCAAAGUGAGAUCUAGUACUUUUUUUUAUUUGUUUGUGUUCUUAAUCAUAUUAUACCUUAAAUUUAGAUUGUGGUUUUCUAUGAUCCUAAAACAAUCCCAUUUUUACCAUUUUGAAUUUUGCCAAAAAUUCCUUUUUGACCAAAAUUUUCUUAUUUUAUUCAAUUUUUACUUACAAAAUGCUUAUUUUGCAUCAUUUUUUAUAUGAUACCAAAAUUUAGAAAACGACUUCUAAAUUAUAAGUUAUUUUUGUGUUAUAAAAAUAUGUUUUUAACCUAUUUUGUAUAAGACAAAAAUAGCUUAUAAUUUAGAAGCUGUUUUCUAAGUUUUGACAUCAUAUAAAAAAUGGUGCAAUAUAAGUAUUUUGUAAGUAAAAAUUGAAUAAAAUGAGGAAAUUUUGGUCAAAAGGGAUUUUUGGCAAAAUUCAAAUGGUAAAAAUGAGAUUGUUUUAGGAUCAUAGAAAACGACAAUCUAAGUUUAGGGUAUAAUAUGAUUAAGAACACAAACAAAUAUAAAAAGUACUAGAUCUCAAUUUGAUGAAAACUAAUUCUUUUCUCAAAAUUCUACAUUAUUAGAGAACCUUGGAACGUUUGACAUCCCCGCCACUGAAACCACUAUGAUCAUCAUGGCCUCCACCUCCAUCACCAGGACCACCACGGCGGCGUUUAACCUCGCUACCACAAGUGCUACCACCACUAAACAAAAGAACAAAUCAUAAGUAAGAUAAAGACCUUAACAUAAAAAUUAAACAAAAACAAGUAUCCGCCCUUCAGCUUUUUCUUAUUGAUCUCUAAAGUAGUCGACUUGCUAUCUGCAGAAACUGAGGACCAAUAUUAUUUUAACUAUGUAAUAAGAAGGCAUAGUUCUAUAAUAAGCAACAAAAAUUUAAACACUUGCAACUCAAUACUGGCUUCCUCCCACUCUAUAGUUCGACAUGCAUUUUACUCUCUUCGAUACCGAUAACCCUCCCAUGUUUGCCAUUGUGCACCCCUGCUCGUGGUGCAACAGUGUCUCCCACCUCAGCUCUCCUGAGCGGUAGAGCAUGAUCAAAAAAUAAUUUCUUGGUGACUUCAGUGGUUAAAAUAAGGUUAAUUGAUAUGAAGAAGGAUCAAACAUUUAAGAUAAAAAACAAUCUCUUACCGCUACNNNNNNNNNNNNNNNNNNNNGAGCCACCGCAGCGGCCAAAGCCCUUGCGACCGCGGUGGCCACCACCGGUGCCGUCACUGCCAAUGCCACCAUUUUUGUCAAACCUAAACAAUAGAUAGGAAUAAGAAUCAUAACCAAUGUAAGAAUCAUAAAUAAGAAAAAUACAAGUAUUACCAGUUUUCUAUGACAAGCUUGAGUUGAUGCACACUAUAAACUGCAAAAGCAUGAACGGUAAUAAGAAUAGAAUGAACGGUAAACAUAUCAUCUUCUAGGUUCCUAUUGGUCUUCAACGGUUAUAGUGAUACUAAUUAUUUUUUAGUUUCAAACAAGUAAUAAUAUCUUGAUUUUGUGAUUUACCUGGCUUAACAUAUCAAUUUUCCAUUAUGUAGGGUUUUAUUUUGAAAUCCCAAUUGUUCCAAGGGGCCAAGCAUUUCUUUUGAUGAUUCUUCUACAAACUUGGACCAUCCAACAUUUCAAUUUCAAAAUUUGUUAGUUUGCUUGGAUGCAUGUUCAAUUUCAAAAUUUGUUGGUUUGCUUGGAUGCAUGUUCCUGUUUAGUAUUUGUGUUGUUUCUCACGGUAACCGAAUAAUUUGGAUGUAAGAAAUGACAAAUUACAAAUGUUGAAAUGAUCAAUUACAAAAUUAAAUUGAAUAAACAUAUGGCAACAUGGUUAAUAGGUGGAUACUGCAAGCAAAUGUAAGAAAACAAACCUUUCAAAUCAUGAACUAACCAAUAAGUGAUUGUUUGUUGUCUUAUGUUGCACCUUAAUUUACUAUUUAU
rnacentral:lncRNA from 1 species